GUUACAUGCUGCUUUCAGGAAAGCAGCCAGGUUUGUUGCAUGGCAAAUAUUUGCUUUUCCAACUCUGUUCCCUCUAAGGCCUCUUAAAGAGCUAAUUGUUCUCUACCCGGCCAGGACUGUAGUGUGCAGAACUCAAACAGAUAUGAAAAGGGGCUGGGAAUAACAGAACUGUUAGAGGAGUGCAGCGAAGAGGAGAAGGGAAUAUUUGCAUAGAUUCUGGACAGCUUCCCCUGCAGCACCAUCCAGCUACUUCUGGCUGUCUUCUGGUUGUCUGGAGGGGUUGGGUGGAUUACUUACAGCCACUUACAUUCACCAGCUGACUCAUCCCAUCCCCUGUCAAAGGAUAACCUACUGGGAAGCCUGACUGAAAGACUCUGAGGUGGUGCUGUCAUGGAGGAUUGACUUCUGUCUGCCAUUUGGGUGCACACAAAUCCCAGGAUUUUACUCAAUGGGCAAAACAUGACCAGAAUCACUAUGGUGGACCAAAAAUGCUCCUGUCAUCUUUCCAGACUGCAGCAGGGAUUUCAGGGAUCAGGUGUCAACCGCGGCAGAAAUUCAGUGUGCAAACGUCUGGAUGCUAAAUCUACAGUGAAAGACGGAAAAAAGAAUCAGCAGAAGAGCAAAAUGGGAAAGGACUUGUUCUUAAGCAAAGAAGGAAUUAUAGAAGCUGUAAAGAACUUUCUGGCUCACACCACCUCCUAUCCUAUUCUGGUUUCUGUGCAACACUCUCAAAUCCCUGCUAAGUGUGCUGAAGGAAAGAAACAAAUCAGUUAAAUAACAGGGGACUUCUGAGUUUGCU
rnacentral:lncRNA from 1 species